GGGUGGAUUAGUGGCGAACGGGUGAGUAACACGUGGGCAAUCUGCCCUUCACUCUGGGACAAGCCCUGGAAACGGGGUCUAAUACCGGAUACGACCUGGGAAGGCAUCUUCUCGGGUGGAAAGCUCCGGCGGUGAAGGAUGAGCCCGCGGCCUAUCAGCUUGUUGGUGGGGUAAUGGCCUACCAAGGCGACGACGGGUAGCCGGCCUGAGAGGGCGACCGGCCACACUGGGACUGAGACACGGCCCAGACUCCUACGGGAGGCAGCAGUGGGGAAUAUUGCACAAUGGGCGCAAGCCUGAUGCAGCGACGCCGCGUGAGGGAUGACGGCCUUCGGGUUGUAAACCUCUUUCAGCAGGGAAGAAGCGCAAGUGACGGUACCUGCAGAAGAAGCGCCGGCUAACUACGUGCCAGCAGCCGCGGUAAUACGUAGGGCGCAAGCGUUGUCCGGAAUUAUUGGGCGUAAAGAGCUCGUAGGCGGCUUGUCACGUCGGGUGUGAAAGCCCGGGGCUUAACCCCGGGUCUGCAUCCGAUACGGGCAGGCUAGAGUGUGGUAGGGGAGAUCGGAAUUCCUGGUGUAGCGGUGAAAUGCGCAGAUAUCAGGAGGAACACCGGUGGCGAAGGCGGAUCUCUGGGCCAUUACUGACGCUGAGGAGCGAAAGCGUGGGGAGCGAACAGGAUUAGAUACCCUGGUAGUCCACGCCGUAAACGUUGGGAACUAGGUGUUGGCGACAUUCCACGUCGUCGGUGCCGCAGCUAACGCA
rnacentral:rRNA from 1 species